GUGGGGGACCUCCGGGCCUCACACCAUCGGAUGUGCCCAGAUGGGAUUAGCUUGUAGGCGGGGUAACGGCCCACCUAGGCGACGAUCCCUAGCUGGUCUGAGAGGAUGACCAGCCACACUGGAACUGAGACACGGUCCAGACUCCUACGGGAGGCAGCAGUGGGGAAUAUUGCACAAUGGGCGCAAGCCUGAUGCAGCCAUGCCGCGUGUAUGAAGAAGGCCUUCGGGUUGUAAAGUACUUUCAGCGGGGAGGAAGGUGGUGAGGUUAAUAACCUCACCAAUUGACGUUACCCGCAGAAGAAGCACCGGCUAACUCCGUGCCAGC
rnacentral:rRNA from 1 species